GGUAGAGCAUCUGAUUUGUAAUCAGAGGGUCGCGUGUUCAAGUCAUGUAGCCGGCAUUUUUAGAUAGAAGAAACAGUGCGAACGUAGUUCAGUGGUAGAAC
rnacentral:rRNA from 1 species